CCGCGGUGAAUACGUUCCCGGGCCUUGUACACACCGCCCGUCACACCAUGGGAGCUGGGUGUACCUAAAGUCGGUAACCGCAAGGAGCCGCCUAGGGUAAAACUAGUAACUGGGGCU
rnacentral:rRNA from 1 species